rnacentral:rRNA from 1 species
GCGCACGGGUGAGUAACACGUGAAUGAUCUACCUCCGAGUGGGGAAUAACUGAGAGAAAUCUUAGCUAAUACCGCAUAACACUUACGAGUCAAAGCAGCAAUGCGCUUGGAGAGGAGUUCGCGGCCGAUUAGCUAGUUGGCGGGGUAAUGGCCCACCAAGGCGAUGAUCGGUAUCCGGCCUGAGAGGGCGCACGGACACACUGGAACUGAAACACGGUCCAGACUCCUACGGGAGGCAGCAGUGGGGAAUUUUGCGCAAUGGGGGAAACCCUGACGCAGCAACGCCGCGUGGAGGAUGAAGCCCCUUGGGGUGUAAACUCCUUUCGAUCGGGAAGAUAAUGACGGUACCGAUAUAAGAAGCCCCGGCUAACUUCGUGCCAGCAGCCGCGGUAAUACGAGGGGGGCAAGCGUUGUUCGGAAUUAUUGGGCGUAAAGGGUGCGUAGGCGGUCUGGCAAGUCUUAUGUGAAAUCUUCGGGCUCAACCCGAAGUCUGCAUGAGAAACUGCCGGGCUUGAGUAUGGGAGAGGUGAGGUGGAAUUUCCGGUGUAGCCGGUGAAAUG